UUCUGAGUGUUUGAAAGCCUUUUACUUUUUGAAGCCUUCUCUUCAAGAAGGUGGGCUUGUCCCAGAAGCAACAGGCUACAGAGUUUUCACCUGGCUUUUAGCAAAAGUGAGGUGAGAGGCAGAAGAUUUGGGGAGAAGAGUUUUAUCCCAAGUCUAUUGAUUACAAAGAAAAGACACCCUUUAUUGUCUCAAAACUCCAACAAUAUAAUGAAAUGCACACUUUUAAUUCCAAAUGAUGGCCAGGGUCAGGUAUCUUAUCUGACAGUAGUCUUGCAAAUUCCUUCUUUGUCUUAUCUAGACAAGACUUCUUGAAGGAGUCUGCUUGUCACCUGUCUGUAACAGCUGCAAGUUCCUGUUUCAGAUAUUUCAGAAGUACAGAAUUUGUUUUUUUUCUUUCUGAGGACAGCUGUCUGAAGGAUAAAAACAGAAAGGAAGCAACUAAAAGUGGAGAGACUGAAGACUGGGUCAUGAUAAUGGAACAUUCUUCCCUAUAAUUUUUUGGAUCUUGAGUGAAGUCAUGGCAUUUGCUCUGUAUCCCACAUCCUGUUGGUUAGAACAGAGCAUCUCAGCUGCAGCCAAUACAAUUUCAAGUGGAAAUGGGUGGGACUGUAAAUAGCCAAGAAGGAGAGAGAGAAAUGUUUGUAUCUGCUCCCAGACUGAGUGGUUAACUAAGUGCUGGUUAAUAAUUAAUGAAAGCACUCUUCUCAGAAGUGAUGUUGAAGGAGGAAUUAAUUCCCUUUUGAGAUGAGGAAUCAGAAUCUGCUGGCAAGAAAAGGGCAAAAAUGGAGAAAUAAAUCACUUGAGCGCACCUUUAACAGGAAUAAUUUAAGUUAUUUAUCUUCAAAAAGAAAAAGAGUGGAGAAGGUAGGAGAAUGACAUAAUCUGUGUUCUGCAGUGGGUUCUUCAGCUCAGUUUGUGUGAGAUGCUGCUUAAGAACUGUUGGUUCUUUGACUGGGUGCUUGACUGGAAUUUGUCCCUUCAUGUUUCUGCUCAUCUCUUCCCUGUGCUGCACUCCCUCUGAUCACCUGCAGUGGUUUGAACUACUGCUGCAAAGGAUUAUCUUUCAUUUAAGAAGAUGAUGAAACUCAUAAUUUAAAUAUCUUUUAUUGUUCAUCAUAUCCUCAAAACCGCAACAUUCAGUUAUUAAACACGGGGAGGGUACAAUCACCCUCAACAUCUUUAAAUCCAGUCAGGAAGGUAUUUGGAAGCCUGGGGUUUGGACUACACCUAGCCAGGGGAAGGAGCUGUCACUCAGCACAGAACUGUUUAUAAAUAUCUGCUCUCCAGAAGACAACUGACAAUUGUAAUGGGGCUAAUUCUUCUAGCAGCACUGGCAUAACACCAUCAGGGCUGUCUGGCGCUGCACAGGGUAUUUCUUCCAUGAAAGAAAACUAAUCCUGAGCAAGACAGUUUUAGUGUGACUUAUGUUCCUUGAAGUGCUAUUACAGCAAGUAAAACAAGCAGUAUCAUUUCUCAGUGUUUUAAAAUAAGCUACACCGAAAUCAAUAUGGAUUUAUUCCUUGUCUCUUUCCACAGCACCCAGAAGGAGCUUUCCACUUCUCUUUGACAAAAAUGUAUCUUCAUUUAGUGCAUAUUAUAUAUUGCACCUGCUGUAAAACAGAAUUGUUAAAAUCAUUAAAUGAUGGUUUUGCUUCCUUUUUCUUGCAAAAGUGUGAUUUCUAAUCAUAUUUUUUUCCAUUCACGACCUGAGUAAUGCCUGACUUUUUUGUUUAAUGUAUAUAAAGUCCUGUCUUGUUGUGUAAAAUGUCCAAAGGCUGCAUAUGGUGACUUGGGUUUUUCAGGACAUUAUAGUUUGCAGUUUAAAAAUCAGAAGUCAAAUUUGGUUGUAGUGGGAGUUUGUUUAGCUGGAGCUGUAUGAGAAGAUUAUGACCUUACUUGUAUUUUUCCAUACCAGAAGCAGACACUUUCCAAAGCACUUCAGCUGGGGAGGAAGAGUGCAAGUUGUUUAUUUUCAGUGGCAUCUCCAUGGUUCCAAACCCCUUAUCGAGACUCUUAAUGAGCUAUAACUGGAUAAUUAAAAAGCAGGGUUUAGGUCAGCUACUUCUGGUUUCAGCGUGGGAUAAAUGCAUGUUUUGGAAUAACUUAAUAUGGCAUGGCUUUUAGGGCAGCAGUUUCUUUGAGCAGGGACUUUGGGGCAACUUUGGGCCAGAAACUGAAGCUUCACUAAGAAAUGGCCCUGGAGGAAAAUAGAAUGUUUUGAGCAUCCAAGUGCCACCAGAUUCUGUGUUAUCCUGAAGGCUGUAGCUACUCUUUCAGAGCCUUAAUCCCAAGAACCAGCUGAGCCAGCCCAAGAGCAUCACAUUUGGCCUUUUUAGAGAAAAUUCCCUGGCUGAAUGGCAGGUACUGGCUGACAUAAAUAAGAACAAUUGUAACAGAGCAGGGAGUCCUUUUGUACUGCUUACUGUUAUUACAAUAGUCUGAUAUGCAGUUACCUGCUAACAGCAAUGUUAAAAUUAUUUCUGAUUAUCUGUACUGAAUAUUUGCCUGUAGCCAGUACCAGAGAGUAUCCAAAGUGAAUCUGAAUUCACUCAAGGUGCUUGUCAAAUACAGAUCUCAGGGUCCUGGGAGAGUUCCUUGCUUCAGGAUGAGAUGCAGAUGCUACCAUGGCUCACAGACACUUCAUUAGUAUUAAACCUUGCCCUACAGGUGCUGGGUUGGCUGUGUUUUGCUAAAACCAGAGGGUUAUUUUGAAAAGGGAAGAGGAACUGAGGGCAGGUUUUACAGCUGCUGUACAGAUAAUUUCGUACUUUUUCACUUUGUAUAGUAUUUCACUGCAUUUUUAUCUAACUGUAGGUAAGUAGGUGAUAAGCAACAGCUGCUGAUAGCUCUGGGCUUAAGGUUUGAGAAGUGUGACAUCAAAAUUCAGAACUGUGCUGUAUAUCAGGUGUUUAGUUAUAAUUUUCAAACUCCUAAAAUCUAGACCUUUUAGGUACAGAUUUGUCUCUCUUUCAGACAGUAGCUUAUCAAACCCUGAAGAGCAGCCUGGUGUGCAGAGCAGAACAGGACAGACUUGUGCAGGAGGGUGUGUAGUGGUGCCUGUAGCAGCUAUUCUUGCCAGAGGAACCUGCCACUGCCCUGAUCCUGCAGAAAUGCUCCAGCUCCCAAAUCAUGGACUGGCUGCUGGUUCCCAGCACAGACUGCUCUGCACAGACCACACAUGACUGGUAAGGACAAGAAUCAGUCAGAAUUCUGACUGAGCAGGAGCAUGGCUUAGGCAUCUUCCAGAUAUCAGCUUCCCUCUCUUUCCUAAAGCACAGAAGACUGGCAAUUUUUAGAAACCAAAACUCAACGGAAACAAAAUUAUCUUAAAUCUAUACAAUUAUCCUUUUGCCUACACAUUUUUAGAACAUACCUCUGCCUCUGUAGGUAAGCUUAUGGAAAACCAUUAAGAAAUAUUUCCCUGAGUUAUGUUUUAAAUAAAAUCCAUCAGUGAAUUGCUGCUGCACCAAACUCAAAUGUAGUCAGUACUCUUGACUCAGUUGUCCAAUUCAGUCACAAAAGAUGUUAUUGAAAUGGAAACACUUAAUUCUCAGAGUUAAACCAUCUGAGUGACUAGCUCAUCUAGAAAGAACAUUCAUAGCUACAAUUUUUUUUCCGUGAAAGUCUGCAAGUGAUUCAGAACAAUGAGUGAAAAUGAAAUUUGAUUUUAUUUCUCAGGUAUUACUUAUCUCUAUAAUAAAUAAGCUACAUUGUGUGCUGCUACAGCUAAAAGCUUCUUGUAGUUUACAUUAUUUGAAUGUGAUCCAUUCUCUGAGAAAAAAUUAUCUUUUGCUCUCAGCAGAGCUGCAUUUGAAAUGGAAUUAGAGUCCCCAGUGAUAGCAGAAGUGGAAAAAUAUUAAACAAUCUAUUUUAUUUAUGAAAACUGGAAAAUGAGGUCAGUGGCACUUGGAGCACACUCAGUUUGGGUGUGCAGAUACCCUGCAAAAAAAAUUCUUUUAUGCAUAUUUUAAGCAGUACAUUUUGUUUCUAUGAAAGUACAACUAAAGGGAAGAGACUUAAGUAUUCUGAGCUCAAAAAAAGGUUGUGGGGGGUUUUUUUGU